GUGGAACUGCAGGGGAGGCCUGAGCUCCCGGCGUCGGGAGGCGGCGGAGGACUUCACUGUUGAGCGGUGCUUUGUUUGCAGUCAAACUCGUUGCAGAGUUCUCAGAAUUCCCCCUCGGAGAAGCGGAAAGUUGGGGAAGUGCAAGCUGGUUACCCAGACGGCGGGUGGGCUGAGCAUCGCUUUGCGGGGUGCAGGCCGGGACGGGAACUCAGCGGAGGGGCGGAGUUGUCCGGAAGAAACCUUAAGACGUCCUGGCCCGACAGCUACCUGCUCCACAGGAGGAAAAGAAGGGUCCGACCGAACUUGAGCACCGCGGCAGAAUCCGGGCUGGAGCCCAGCUCGCAGGCCCACCACCGGCUUCCUUUCCCUUCACCAAGUUUGCAGCCUUGGAGGAGAGCUCUGGAAUCUGCCUCCCCACCCCCACGAAGGAACCCUGUUCCCUUUUGUGAAGAAUCCUAUUUAGAAACCAAGAUAGGAUAUUUUGACUUAUUUAUUGCUAUUAGUGGGCCAUUAUUUCUAAGUCUUUUCAGUGGACAGACCUAGGAAAUAUGUGUGUAUAUAUAUGUAAUAUAUUAACUACCUUUAUAUAUAUUAAAAAUGAUUUCAUGCUGAUACUUCCCAUUAGCAUCACAAAUCCCUUUACUUUUCAUAAGAAGAGAUAAUCACUGGCUUAUUUGUGAACAAAACACUAACAUUUUUGAAGAGAUCUGAAAAGUAAUAAUAUUGAUCUCAAAGCCCAUUCAAAUAAGUUUUAUUAAUAUUUAAACAUAGCAUAUAUUAGAAUCUUAGAUAUUGGAGGAAGACAUUAUCUAGGACUGUGAUCGAGAUGUUAUACCGUAGACUCUUGCAGUCAGUUUCUGGAUCUGUGUUGAAAUAGAAAAAUAAGAUAAGGGGGUAAAAGAUUGUCCUAAUCCUUCACAACAUUGUUAACUACAUGGAGAAAGCAUAUUAAGCAUGCAUGACACCCAGAAUCUUGAAAUGAAUGCAUAUUUAUGAGAGGAGUAUAAACAAAUAAGGAAGUGUUACAGUGACAUAGUGACACUACCUACUGGGAAAAAUACUAGUGUUUCUCAUUGGAUAAAUAUGUGGAUACAGUCCUAAUACUAGCCAUUCCACUUAUUAGUAGCUUGACUAUUAUUUGACUACUAAUGAGAAUAACUUGGCCAGAGAUGAAGAGGAGGAGUUGUGAACAUCUAAACAAUGGGACUUGCAUCAUAAGAGCCCUAGGGCUACGUAAUCUAGUUCUUACAGACUUCUCCCAGGAGACUUGGAGAACUUUUCUCUAAUGGUCUGUGUCUCCUCUACUAGGUUGAAAACCAGAGCCUCUCUACUUGGUUUGCUAAUCCCAAAGAUUAAUUCAGUAGAAGUCCUCGCUUAUUUUUACUGGUUCCUUUGCUUUAUUUGGGAAAAUAAAGUGUAAAAAGUGUAGUUGACAGUUUAGAGUUUGUUUUAUGUGUAUAGUAAAACAAAGAUCCCCAUUUUAAUACGGCAUCCUCUAUGCACUUGCUAAAUACUCCCUUGUAAUAAUUUAAUGACCUGAAAAUGAUGUAAAUAUAUAUACGUAUAUAUUCAUGUUAUUUUUAACUUCAGAAAUCAGUGUUUUAAAAGUGAAUACCUGAAGAACUACCACUGUCAUUAGAAAAAUUUUUUGACCAGUGUUUGAAGGUAAAAUUAAGUAACACUGAAUAAGGAGUUAUUAUGUGAUGUACAUCAUAUGUAUUACAUUUUACUUAUUUAUCAAAACUAUGUAUUUGCUAGAGCUGUUAUUAUUCCCAUUUUAUAGAAGAAGAAACUGAGAUUAUAUACUUUAUUGAACUUGGUCAGCCUCUUGUAACUAAUACAUAAUAGAGAUAGGAUUUCGGGGUGCCUGGGUGGCUCAGUCGGUUAAGCGUCCGACUUC